rnacentral:rRNA from 1 species
UACGGAGGGGGCUAGCGUUGUUCGGAAUUACUGGGCGUAAAGAGCGCGCAGGCGGUCGAUCAAGUCGAGUGUGAAAGCCCCCGGCUCAACUGGGGAGGGUCAUUCGAUACUGAUCGACUCGAAGGCAGGAGAGGGUAGUGGAAUUCCCGGUGUAGUGGUGAAAUGCGUAGAUAUCGGGAGGAACACCAGUGGCGAAGGCGACUACCUGGCCUGUUCUUGACGCUGAGGCGCGAAAGCUAGGGGAGCAAACGGG